rnacentral:rRNA from 1 species
AACUCCUACGGGAGGCAGCAGUGGGGAAUUUUGGACAAUGGGGGAAACCCUGAUCCAGCCAUCCCGCGUGUGCGAUGAAGGCCUUCGGGUUGUAAAGCACUUUUGGCAGGAAAGAAACGUCGUGGGUUAAUACCCCGCGAAACUGACGUACCUGCAGA